GGGGGGGGCAAGCGUUGUUCGGAAUUACUGGGCGUAAAGGGCGCGCAGGCGGCCUUCUAAGUCGGACGUGAAAUCCCUCGGCUUAACCGAGGAACUGCGUCUGAUACUGGAAGGCUUGAAUCCGGGAGAGGGAUGUGGAAUUCCAGGUGUAGCGGUGAAAUGCGUAGAUAUCUGGAGGAACACCGGUGGCGAAGGCGGCAUCCUGGACCGGCAUUGACGCUGAGGCGCGAAAGCUAGGGGAGCAAACGGGAUUAGAUACCCCGGUAGUCCUAGCCCUAAACGAUGAGUGCUUGGUGUGGCGGGUAUCGAUCCCUGCCGUGCCGAAGCUAACGCAUUAAGCACUCCGCCUGGGGAGUACGGUCGCAAGGCUG
rnacentral:rRNA from 1 species